ensembl:lncRNA
UCCUGAUGCUCGGUUUGAACCUAUGUUUGGCUAACAUUUGUGUUAACGAGCAGCUGAACAGGCGUGCCUAAUGAAGUGGCUGGACAGAGUAUACAAAAGAAAAUCAUCAAGGAGUGCUGACGUGUAUGGCUUGUAACCCUUCGUUUAGGUAGCCGCUCAGCUCUCUCUGCCCUGCUCUUCAUGUCACUGACACUAUGCAUUCAACCUGCUAAUGUGUGCUAAAUGACAAAGAGCCAACAGCAAAGCCUGCCCUUGCCCCAUCUUUCUGUUGUUGCAAGGGCCUGUCACCUCAUCACCAACACCAGCCUGUUAAACUCACUGCAGGCAGGCUGCACAGCUCUGAGUUUGGAGUACAGCGUGGGAGCUACACACACACAAAGCAGUGCUGGUGAGAAGAGGUUCUCGUAGUGUGAAGGGGGAAAACGAAGAGAAAUCAGCUGCUGACAUGGUUUCCGAGGCAGAAAACGUUGUUACGGCCAGGCAGCUGUCAGGUCUUAUCCCUGCUUCUUUUACUGUGCUGUCUGUGGGAACUGGCUGACCAUUUACUGCCACCAUGUGACAAUUCAGACUCCCUGCAGAGGUCAAUAAGGUAUCUCCCAGACAUGUGAGACAAAGCUUGUUUUAUUUUGGCAACCUAAUUCUAAUGCUUUUCACUACAGUCUUUAUCAGGCCUGGGGAAAAUCUGGGUCAUGUUAAUGAGGUUUGCAAAUGUUUUUUAUUACGAUAUUUUUAUGAAUUAAAUAAUCAGCUUGGACAGUUUUCCGUACUGAAUGUUAGGAUUGGAACUGUUGUGACAAUGUGUAAAUGUGCUUCUGGCGUGGACUAUUAAAAGUAAGUUCGUUUACAAGGAUGUUUGAUCUCUGUGCACACAUUUUUUGGUUAGUUGUGGCUUACGCAACAAAUAGUAGGGGAAGUCAUGACCUCUUGUGUGAUAUGGCUCGCUCAUCACGCGCAGGCCUUAUUCAUAA